rnacentral:tRNA from 1 species
UACACCUUAGUAUAUGAUGUAUGAAAGUAUUUGAAACUUUAGGAAGUAGUUUAAAUCUAUUAGGUGUAU